rnacentral:rRNA from 1 species
CGGGGAAUUUUGGACAAUGGGCGAAAGCCUGAUCCAGCAAUGCCGCGUGUGUGAAGAAGGCCUUCGGGUUGUAAAGCACUUUUGUCCGGAAAGAAAUCCUUGGCUCUAAUACAGUCGGGGGAUGACGGUACCGGAAGAAUAAGCACCGGCUAACUACGUGCCAGCAGCCGCGGUAAUACGUAGGGUGCAAGCGUUAAUCGGAAUUACUGGGCGUAAAGCGUGCGCAGGCGGUUUGCUAAGACCGAUGUGAAAUCCCCGGGCUCAACCUGGGAACUGCAUUGGUGACUGGCAGGCUAGAGUAUGGCAGAGGGGGGUAGAAUUCCACGUGUAGCAGUGAAAUGCGUAGAGAUGUGGAGGAAUACCGAUGGCGAAGGCAGCCCCCUGGGGCCAAAUACUGACGCUCAUGCACGAAAAGCGUGGGGAGCAAACAGGAUUAGAUACCCUGGUAGUCCACGCCCUAAAACGAUGUCAACUAGUUGUUGGGGAUUCAUUUCCUUAGUAACGUAGCUAACGCGUGAAGUUGACCGCCUGGGGAGUAACGGUCGCAAGAUUAAAACUUAAAUGAAUUGACGGGGUCAUA